UACGUAGGGGGCAAGCGUUGUCCGGAUUUAUUGGGCGUAAAGAGCGUGUAGGCGGCCUGGAAGGUCAGCUGUGAAAACUCGAGGCUCAACCUCGAGACGUCGGUUGAAACCACCUGGCUAGAGUCCGGAAGAGGAGUGUGGAAUUCCCGGUGUAGCGGUGAAAUGCGCAGAUAUCGGGAAGAACACCCGUGGCGAAGGCGGCACUCUGGGACGGUACUGACGCUGAGACGCGAAAGCGUGGGGAGCAAACGGG
rnacentral:rRNA from 1 species